rnacentral:rRNA from 1 species
UACGGAGGGAGCUAGCGUUAUUCGGAAUUAUUGGGCGUAAAGGGUGCGUAGGUGGCCCUGUAAGUUAAAGGUGAAAUCCCAGAGCUCAACUCUGGAACUGCUUUUAAAACUACAGGGCUCGAGUUUAAGAGAGGAUAGUGGAAUUCCUAGUGUAGAGGUGGAAUUCGUAGAUAUUAGGAGGAACACCAAAGGCGAAAGCAACUAUCUAGAUUAAUACUGACACUGAGGCACGAAAGCGUGGGUAGCAAACAGG